AGUGAACGCUGGCGGCGUGCUUAACACAUGCAAGUCGAACGAGAACGGGUUAUAGCUUGCUAUAAUUGUCAGCUAAGUGGCGCACGGGUGAGUAAUGUAUAGGUAAUAUGCCUCUUACUAAGGGAUAACAAAUGGAAACGUUUGCUAAUACCUUAUACUCCUUAUUAACAGAAGUUAAUAAGGGAAAGAUUUAUUGGUAAGAGAUUAGCCUGUAUUGUAUCAGUUAGUUGGUGGGGUAAUGGCUUACCAAGACUAUGACACAUAACUGGUUUGAAAGGAUGAUCAGUCACACUGGAACUGAGACACGGUCCAGACUCCUACGGGAGGCAGCAGUGGGGAAUAUUGCACAAUGGACGAAAGUCUGAUGCAGCAACGCCGCGUGGAGGAUGACACAUUUCGGUGCGUAACCUCCUUUUAUAUGAGAAGAUAAUGACGGUAUUAUGUGAAUAAGCACCGGCUAACUCCGUGCCAGCCGCCGCAGUAAUAC
rnacentral:rRNA from 1 species